rnacentral:tRNA from 1 species
GGGCCCUUAGCUCAUUUGGUAGAGCGCCGCGUUUGCAACGCGGAGGCGACCGGUUCGAGUCCGGUAGGGUCCACCA